rnacentral:rRNA from 1 species
GUGAAAGAGGGGGAUCGCAAGACCUCUCACUAUUGGAGCGGCCGAUGUCGGAUUAGCUAGUAGGUGGGGUAAAAGCCUACCAAGGAA